rnacentral:lncRNA from 1 species
UUAAGAGGCAAUGCCAGAGAAAACCAGGCAGAAGUUAGAAAUUUUGUUCAACAACCUUUUUGAGAUAAAUGUGUUUUUGUAUUGUAUCCACCUUGUUUUGUUGGGAAAUGACAUUUUUAAAAGUCAUAUUGGGUUAUUAUGUAUAAAAAAAUGAAUUUGAUUUUUCACUAAAUUUGACUGCUUAUUUAGGGAAAUAGGGGUAUUAAUUUCUCAACAAAAACAGCCUACAAUAUAACAAUUGAUAUAUAUCUAAAAGGUGACCAUGAAUACAGCAG